UGCACACGGCACUAUAUGAGAGCGAGUGUCAGUGAGGGGACGAUUAUUACAGUCGCACACAUUCCUUCCUUUAACCAAUUCAAGUCCAGUGUCUGGUGUCUCAUUGGUUAAUGGGGGAGGGGCAGAUAAGGGCCGAGCUGCACUUCUGUCAAUAGUGGCAAAGUGAAAGCAGAAAGAAUUUCAUUCCGAGGGAACAGGGAUGGGAAAUGGCGCUGGAGAGAAUCUUCCUUCUCUGCUGGAUUUGCUGCAGCUCAGUGUGUUCUGCACCAAUGGUAUCAGUUCCUUCAUUUCACAAAGCACUUCUGGGUUCUACAGCUUCUCUCCCUUGCACCUUCUCUUUGGGCAAAUCACCCAUUAACCACUCAGUGUUGUCCAUCAUCUGGAUCAUUAGAGACAAGGAGAUUCUUAGGUACAACAAGACUCUGACCAUCUCCCAACCCCGACUGACUCUGGAUGUUCAGGCAAUAGAGGAAGGGAUUGUGUCUCUGUCAGUCUCCAAUGUAACCAUCUCUGAUGAGGGCAUCUACACGUGUGUUGUGCUUUAUAAACUGAUACAAGAACAUGCAAUUGAAUUAGAAGUUGUAGCUGUUCCCAUGAUGAAGAUAACUAGAUCUAAAAAGAACCUCUACUGCUCAGUGACUGGGUUCUACCCUGUGGAUAUAGGGGUAUCUUGGCUCAGAGAUGGGGAGCCCGUACCUCAUUCCUCUAAUAUAGACAAAGACUUAAGGCCAUGGAGCAAUGCAGAUGGCACAUACACAUUGAACAACUCACUGAGUGUUACCCCUGGAGAAGGCCAGAAAGAGGGGACUUACUCCUGCCAAGUGGAACACAAGUCUCUGCUAGAACCUCUUCUCAAAGAUUUCCAGUUGGUGUAUAUUGAUUCGGUUGCAAACAACGGGGGGACAUAUUCUGUAGAGAACAUUGCGGCGGCCAUAUUGCUCACCAUGUUGGUGACAGGGACCGGGAUCACGGCAGCCCUCUGGUUUCUCGUCUACAAGAGGAAAUUAAAGCCCAAGGAUUCCAUGAAUCUUUCCCUGAGUGAGUCAGGAGAGGUUCUGAGCUGUCUGACCCUGAGGGAGUUUUACCCCAGAGAGAUCCAGAUCAGAUGGAGCUGUGGAGUUGGAUACUAUUGGGAACUGGAAACUAUCAAAGAAAAUGUCACAUUAAACCAUGGCAGCUUUAAUAUUGAGAGUGAGUGUAAGCUCCCAGGACAUCUCUUUAAAGAUCCAAGAUUCAAAGUGCGAGUGACCUGGAACCACCGAUCCAGUGAUGAAGAGGAGUCCAGGGAAUUAUGUGCCAGGGAUCCAGAUUUUCCUUGGCGACCAAGGAUGGAAGAGAUAAUAAGCCCUACCCUGACACACGGUGCAGAGGGCAAAUUCCAGUGUAAGAUCUGGGGGUAUUUCCCCCUGUGUUUGGAGUUGAAAUGGUUCAGGAGAGAAGCAGGAGCUCGGGAGCUGAUCCCUCUUUAUCCCAGUGAGAAGUAUUAUCUGAUGAUGGACCCAGUGAGAGAAGCUGAUGGAACGUACUCUGGCACAGCUAUUCUUAUUGUCUCUGUCAAUUCAGCAACUGAGCAGGGGGUGGAAUUUAUCUGCCAGAUCAGACACCCCAGCCUGCGGGAACCCCUAGAGAGAAGCACGGGGCCACUCAAGGUGGAAGUGAAAUCAGCAGAACAGAUGAUUUUGCUUUAGAGAAGAAGAGAUCCUGAUCACACACCGACAUAAAGAGAAGCAGAAUAAUAUUUGGGAAAUCAUCCUUGAAAAUGUAUAUUCUACUGGUCUAAACACAGCUUAUUAUCCGCAUGAUAGAGUGUGAUAUUGGCCUGGCACAAUAAGCCACCAGCUCAUUGGUAAAGGUAUUGGCUGAUGGUGAGAAUUAGUAAUGGACACCAGUUUCCAAUAGAGACUGUGCUGUAGCCUCUCUAGAUGUUGAACGGGUAAAAUGCAUUGAGAGGUUGAAAGGGAUGAAUGUUCAGCUGACCAAGGAAAUAAACCCAGCUUGAACAGUCCCAAAGAGAAAAUACAGUAUUUAAAGGUUCUUGACAUGGAAAGUGAAAUUCAGUAUUUAAAGGGAGCCUUAACUUGAGAAAAGGUUGAGAAUAUUGUCCUGGAGUCAUAAAAGAGCUAACCUGAGGGAGGCCUCAACCCUUCACCAAGAGACUGCUGCAUUUUCAUGAUAAACUUCUGAAGCUGAAGUACAAACUAGAGAAGCUGUAGAGACCCCAGUUAAAGGUUUACUACUUAGUGACUCUUCCAAACCAGAGGUGAAACGUCUCUCAUUGAAGGUUCUGAUACCAAAUAUCAUGAAGGAGUGAGAAGAAACAAGAACUAUGACAAAUGUACCUGGUCUGGAACUGAAAUGUGUCAAAGUAAUGAUGAAGAUGUUGCAAUGGCAAAGUGCAUUUUAGAGACUGUAAAUGUCAUGUUGUAAAGUUAUUCCUUAUGAUCCAGGUCAACUGAAAGCAAAAGCAAAUUGAAAAGGUAAGUGAGGUACCUGUGACUGUAAAUGGUCCUAGUCCCAAUUCCAUAGUGUUGAUUGAGAUAAACUUGUGUGGGACUGAAAUUAGAAGGUCAGAGAAUGUUGAUAUGUAACUAUACCUCCCAACUGUGCUGAUUUGUGUGGGACAGUCCUGAUUUUGAGAGCUCAGCCCCUAGUCGAAGGUUUUUACUUAACUAUAUAAGAAGCUUUUUGGCAGAGAGUCCAGAAUACCCAGCCCCUGCACUGAGAUACAAUUGUAACUAAUAAUAGUUUCUGAAACUUCAUUAAAUAAGAGGCUUUUGUUAACGAGGUCAGAACACCCAGCACUUGUAUUUUGAUACAACUGCAUCGAAUAAAAUAAUCAAGGCUCUUGGGGCAAUUUCACCAUAAUUCGCAAAACUGUUAUAACACAUAAAACAUGACCCAAAAACCCGCGAAAUGUGUUCAAACAUUCCAUAACCUGCCAAAUUUUGUAAAAUGGGUGUGGUCAAUAUUUUUUCACCGCACUAUGGACGCCAAUUAUUUUUGUCCCUCUUUCCAUCUUUCAAAUAUUGGGAGGUAUGUGAGACCCCCAUGGUUAAGUGGUCUCUCUGAGUAGCAUUGUAGGAAGGCAAGGAACUCUCGGAGUGGAUCCUAUAAAAUCAAAUGUAUUUGAAAAAACUAGAAUUCCAUUAUGGUUCUUUUUGCCAUGAUUCUAUAUUCCUUGUCAUAUUUUCCUGAAUUUCAAUAAUGCAUUGAACCCAUAUUCAACUUCUUGCAAUUACUUCCUGAAAGUUCUGGUCUCCAUUAUGGACCACCAUUUUUUUCAGAUUAUUUUGUCAUUUUUGCUGAUAAAGAAAAGGAGUAAAUGCAGAAGAAACAGAGCGUUUAUGUGAAUGGAUCCAUGUUCUACCAAUGUUUCCGCAAAGGGCAAUUUCAUCUUCUAUAUGGAUUUUUGCAAAAUGACCCCUACAAAUUCUUGAACUACUUAUAUAUAUGUCUCAGGCUUCCUUCGAUGAGUUGAUAAUAUUGACACAUAUUUUUUUGACAGUUAGGUAAGAUUUUUUUUAACUUUAACUAUCUGAAAUGGAAUUUUAUAGCAUGUAAGUGAUUUCCUGUUUAAAAUAUAAAUAUAAAACUUGCACUUAAUUAUCCAGCAAACCUCAAGAUCUUUCUUUCUGGAUCUUAUAUAUUCAAUGAUCCAAAAGAAGGUCAGUCAUUUAUUUCUCAACUUAAAAACCAAGAAAUACCUCCUCUUCCAACCAACCGAUGGAGCAGCUCAAACUCACAAAGAAUGAGAAAGAAAAAUUCACCAUUAAGGCUCUUCACUCCAUCAACACAAACAUCAAGGAAAUAAUCAUCUUUCCAGCUUAAUAUCCAGAUCCCAAACCCCCUGCUAUUCAAAAUAAAGAGGAAAACAUGGUUCAUUAAAAAUCCUGUCUACACUUUCUUAACUUGACAAGACAUUUAGGAGCAUAUUUAUCAAGGGUCGAAUUUCGAAUUGAAAAAACUUUGAAAUUCUAAUUAAAAAAGAUCAACAGAAAUUAAGUUGAAGGUUUUUUUGGGUUGAAUAGGUCAGUUUUUGAUCGAAUAUGUCUGUAUUCGAUCGAAUUAGAAUCAAGGUAAUAUCACAUUCAAUCAAAUUAUAAAAAAAAGUUGAUUUUUCAAAGUCCACCAAUUGACCCCAAAAAGGUUCUAGAAGGUCCCCCGUAGGCUAAAACAGCAAUUCAACA